CUUGAGAUCAGUUCUGUACGACGAAAACGGAGCCCUCCAACUAAACUGGCCCACGAGGGUUAGAAUCGUUCAAGGAGUGGCGCACGCACUAGCUUACCUUCACCAUGAUUGCACACCACCUAUCGUCCACCGUGAUGUUACGAUAAACAACAUUUUACUCGAGUCGGAAUUCGAACCGAGGCUAUCGGAUUUCGGCACGGCGAAAUUGCUGACUUCUGAUUGGUCGAAUUGGACAACAAUGGCAGGCUCGUACGGCUACAUGGCUCCAGGUAAAUUCUCGUAACUUCGCUUUCACUACUAAAUCUGCAUCACGAAGUUAGAAUUUUUUUUCUGACAAUUUACCUUUUUUUUUUUUCUGUGCGCUCAGAGCUUGCGCUGACUAUGAAGGUGACGGAAAAAUCUGACGUGUACAGCUUUGGAGUUGUGGCCUUGGAAACUAUGAUGGGGAGGCACCCGGGGGAUCUCAUAUCUACACUAUCGGCAAACUCGGCAUUGCAUAGUGAACCGGAUGUGUUUCUGAAGGAUCUGCUCGAUCAACGGCUCUCAUCUCCCGCGGGCAAAACAGCAGAGGAAAUUGUGUAUGUAGUCACCAUGGCGUUAUCGUGCGUACGGACCAUCCCAGAGUUACGGCCUAAUAUGCGUUUCGUUGCACAAGAAUUGUCGGCUCGUGAUCGGCCUUACCUGCUGCAGCCACUGCAGACAGUAAAACUAAACGAAGCAACAAGUUUCUCAAAUUAGGAGGAGUUCGUGAUUUGCCGCGAUAAGUAUACAUAGUCACAUAAUCAAUGCUUGGACUCUGCAUAUACAUAAAUCCAGGGGAAUUAUGUCUUUAUUGGAAACUAAUGUACACAAUAUUUAUCUGUACGGAAACUAAUGUAGAGGAGGAUUUGACAGUAUUUUUUUUUUCUAUUCUAAAAAAAAAUAAUUCUUCCAUUGGCAAUGAUGCCCAGCAUUCAAUUAGCACAUAAACAUAAUCAGCAUGCAUAUACAAUUCACAGAAAUACUAAAUAAUUGAGAAAUCAAUCAGAAAUGAAGCCAUGAAAAUUGAAACCCUUACCUGGAAUAAAAAAAAAAAAGAAUCAGCGGAUCGGAGAAGAACUCCAUGUGCAACUACAGAGCAGAGGAAAAGCAAUGAUAUAUGAACUAGCUAUACGAGCAUACGGAAUAUCGGUGUUGGGCGCCGAUCACUUGUCGGAUAGAACGAUAACAUAAGGGUUUAUGGAACGGGAUUCCGGCACCGGCGAGUGGUGAAUAGAAUUGGACGGUGGCGAGUGCGCAUUUUCAUUUGGGUUUGGCUUCUUCGAAUAUUUUAUGCCCCCGUUUGUUCAUCACGCGCGUUUUUGGAGCGUAUACGAUUCAUCCCCAUUUUUUCUGCUUUUGUUUGUUUUCUUACUAUAGAGUAUAGAGGUUGAGAAUUUUAUUUUAUUUUAUUUUUAUUUUUUGAAUUUUGGAUUGAGGAACUUUUGAACUCAGAGGAUAAAAAAAAAAAGUUAAAAUAUUAUUUUGUCAAAAAAUUUUAAAUUAGUGAAAAAAUUAAUAUUUAUUAGUUUUAUACAUUAUUUAAUUAAUAACUUAUCAUUACUUUGUGAAAUUAGUUUUAUUAUUAUUAUUUAUUAUUAUUAUUGUUGUUGUUGUUGUUGUUGUUGUUGUUGUUGUUGUUGUUGUUGUUGUUUUCAAUAAACUCAAUCAAGCUCAUAAAGAUGAUGAAGUUGAAGAUGAUAGUUCACAACAAAACCCGUUCCUCGGUCGAGAACUCUUCAAAUAAAAAAUAUAUUUAAUAUUUCUGUAAGUGAGUUACGACGAAAUAAAAUCGAAGUUCUUACAAUGUUAAGAUGAGGAAUGAGAUUCAAGUAAUGUCAACUUCAACGAGAAGCAAAAGAAAAUUAAAACAUAUUUGCUAUAUGUUUAUAGAUUUAUGAAAUUGUACUAUGUAUUAUUUGAAGAUUUAUUUAUAUGCAUUAUUAAUUUAUAUAUUAGAUGCAUGAUAUUUAUUAGAAUUUUCAAAUAUGUAUUAUUUUAUAAAAAAAAAAAAGAGAAGUAUUAAUUUAGUAUGUUGUCCCCGAGCCAAAACUGAUUUUUUAUUUAUUUAUUAUUUAAAUGAUGUUAUUAAGUUAUCGAGUAUUAAUUUAUCGAUGUUCUACUGCAAUUUUAAAGAUGCCAUAGGAGUGGGGUGGGUGAGUUUGACCCUUUAAAAAAUUUAUGCUUACAGAUGUGAUGAUGAUAGUACUACUUGCUUCAAGUUUCUCCUUUUAUUUUUUAAUAGGGAAAAUUAGUUAAAAUCAUUAGGUAUUUGCAAUUAUUAAUAAGAGGGACACGCUUUCAAUUUUGAUUAUGUUUUUCUGCACAAAUUAUUUAUUAGAAGUCUUUUGACUACUUUUCUAUAAAUAUAUUUGUGACUACUUUACCAUUGAUAUCAUCGUUAUAACGAGAUAAGGUCAAGUUUUCUCGUGAAAUGGAUUUUUUUGUAGAUGCUACGUUCAGUUAAAUACAUUGCGUGAUCUUACACUAUUGAUUUAUACAUAAUAAAUAAUGACAAACACUCAUAUAUAUAAUAUAUGUGUGCUAAGUGAAUAGUUAUUUAUAUAGAUUAAUAGUGCAAAAUCGCCCGAUGUUUUUCACCAGAUAUAGCAUCUCAUAGACGAGUUUAACGAGAAUUGCAAAAAAAAAUUGAUAAUACAUGUCAAAAAAAAUUUCAAUCAAUGUCGUUCUCAAAAAAUGCCUCUCCGAAAAGCAUUUCCUAUUUCUUAUAAUUUUUAACCGUAAUGAAUUUUAAUAGGAAAAUCGACUUUUAGUUCAACGAAUUAAGAUGGUGUUUGCAAGAGUUUAUUUAAAAACUUAAGUUAGUGAUUGUGAAUUAAGUUGAUAUUAAAUGCUUAUUUUUAAAAGUAGGGAAUAUUUGGAAAAUUUCUCAAAAUCAACUUAAAUAGAAAAAGACAAGUCCAAAGACGCUUUUAAAAUUAUAUUUGAAAUCAACUUAUUUUAAGAGACGUCAAAAUAGAAGAUCAUUUUUGCAAACAUCUAAAAACAAAUAACGGUUGAAAAAAGCUCAAAAUUUGUUUCUAAAAACUCUUGCAAACACGAGCACUUGAGUCACCAUGAUUUACUCCUCCAUCAAUUUUUUUUUUCUUUUAGUUUAUUUUAAUUUUAAAUAUGAUUGUGUUUUAAAUGAGUGGCUCCUUGGCUCCUUAUAAUAAGUUUAAAAGAAGGCCACUUUCUUUGAACCCAACAACCUAUCCAAUGUUUUAUAUGAGAGUUAAAAAGUCAACUUUUCACACACAAGUCAACAACAAUUUGCUCAAAGAUGACAGUCUGGACAGAUGAAAUGCCAGCCCUCAUAUUUGAAGUUCUUAUUUUUCUUGGUCAACGCUUUAUUAAAAUAGGAAACUCACUAUGGCCCCAAAUUUCCCAUAAGAUUCAAUUUAAAGCAAUAGUAGCUGACUUAUAUUACUUAAUUAGUUCCCAUUGCUAGUAUUGGAUUCUUUUAGAUAUUUUCUAACAACCACCCAUACAAAAAUACUUCAUUUGUCUCGUAUUAUAUGUCUUUUUUAGGGUGUUUGUUUCUUUUUUACAAAAUUAUUUGUCAAGUUAGAGUUCCAAUAAAGUACUAAUUGCAUUUUUAUCAAUUUUGCUCAUUUAUCACUUUUAAUUAGUUAACUAAAAUAAAUUAAAGACAAGGAUAUUUUAGCAUUUACUAUGUUAUUUUUUGUUAUAAUUUAUGCGUAUUUAUUACUCCAUCCAUUCAACAAUAUCUGUCAUUUUAAAAAAAAAAUUAUUACAUAUUAUCUAUCACUUUAGAAUUUCAAUAGUACAUUAAUUGCAUAUUUUUCAAUUACAUCCUCAUUAACUCUUCAACACUUUCUCUGCAUUAAUUAAUAAAUAAUACUUAGUAUUUUAAUCUAACAAUAUCUAUUUUCCUAAAAUUAUUACAUUUUUUAAGAUUUGUGCAAAUGUGAGAAACGACUAUUAUUUAGAAACCGAAGAAGCCAAUCAACCUUUUCAUUGUCUAUUUUUCAAAUUGUCAAUUGACUCAAAUAAGAACAAACAGAAAAAAAGUCAACCCUUUUAAUGUACUUCACACUAGCAAGUGGUAACAACCAUAAACAUAUAUUAAUACCACAAACCCCAAAUCAAGAGAGUAGAAAUAAAUAAACAAAAAAGCAAACCCAGUUGUUUUCAAUUCAAAUGUUUGCAAUAACAAUCAAAGCAAAUGUAGCAGCAUAUUAAUUCACCAAAAAAAACACACACACAGACAAUGAAAACAUACCUUUUCUUCCUUCAUAUUUUUCUGCUAACAACAACAACUUCUCUAUUGCCCCUUCCAAAAGCAGCAGCCUCACCUACAACUGAAGCAACUGCUCUGGUGAAAUGGAAGAACACCCUACCAUCACCAUCUCCUGUACUAAACUCAUGGUCACUCACCAACCUCCGAAACCUCUGCCGCUCAUGGACCGGCAUCCGAUGCAACUCCGGCGGCUCCGUUUCUCAAAUCGACCUCUCCGAUUCGAAUCUCGCCGGAACCAUCAGCCAAUUCGAUUUCUCCUCACUCAUAAACCUCACAACUCUCAACCUCAACGGCAAUGCCUUCAACGGCUCGAUCCCGACGAGUAUCGGAAAUCUGACGAAGCUCGUUUCGUUCGACCUCAGCGACAAUUUGCUUGACGGCCCGAUCCCGAUUGAGAUCGGCAAUCUGAGGGAGAUUGAAUACUUCACCUUGCUCAACAACUCUCUAAUUGGAGAAAUUCCUCACCAAUUCGGCAAUCUCCAAAAGGUAAGGUAUUUGAAUUUGGGCUCUAAUUACUUGGAAACCCCUGAUUGGUCUAGGUUUCCGAGCUUUCCACUUCUAACGCACCUCAUGAUUAACUACAACGAGCUUACGUUAGGGUUUCCCGACUUCAUCACAGCUUGUCAGAAGCUCACCGUUCUCGAUUUGUCGCAAAACAAACUCACCGGACAAGUUCCUGAGUCUUUGUUCAAUCUGGUUCAACUCGAGUACCUUAACCUAACCUUGAAUUCGUUACAAGGGUCCUUUUCGACGAACCUCACGAAGCUGUCGAAAUUGAAGGAUCUUCGAUUGUCGAGCAACUUAUUCUCCGGCCACAUUCUUGAUUAUGUCACUUUUAUGCCAAACCUCGAAAUUCUUCAUCUGUUCAACAAUUCAUUUCAGGGGGGAAUCCCGCCGGAAAUAGGUCAACUCCGGCAACUCCAGGAGCUAGAUCUCCGGCAGAACGCCUUCAACUCCACAAUUCCGGCCGAGCUCGGCCUCUGCACUAACCUCACCUUCUUAGCAUUCGCCCUCAAUUCGUUCACUGGACCGUUGCCUUCAUCCUUUUCGAACUUAACCGAGCUAUCCAACUUGGGAAUCUCCGACAACAGUUUCUCCGGCGAUAUCUCGCCGUUCAUCGGGAGCUGGACGAAACUAACGUCGCUGCAGAUUCAAAACAAUCACUUCACCGGCGAAAUCCCGCCGGAGAUUGGCCUGAUGACGGAUCUGAAUUAUCUGUUUUUGUACAACAAUUCAUUUUCCGGCGAAAUCCCACCGGAGAUAGGCAGCCUGCAGCACCUGUUGAUGCUAGACCUUUCGACCAAUCUAUUUUCAGGCGGCAUACCUUCGACACUCGGCAACCUCGCAAACCUUUCGAUACUAAACCUUUUCUCAAACAGUCUUACAGGAACCAUUCCUUCCACGAUUGGAGACUUGAGUUUACUACAGAUUCUUGAUAUCAAUACAAACCAAUUGACUGGUCCGAUACCGGAUUCCUUCUCCAACCUCACUAGCCUGUCGACUCUAUCGGUGUACACGAAUAACCUUUCGGGGAUUCUCCCACCAGAUCUCGGGCAGAAUAUUCCUCAGUUAACCAGUGUUAGCUUUUCCAACAACAGCUUCUCUGGGGAGAUUCCAUCUGGCAUAUGCAGCGGCCUGUUGUUCGAUCAGUUUACGGUGAACGGCAAUGGGUUUUCGGGGCUUCUGCCGCAAUGCUUGAAGAACUGCUCGGGGUUAAGAAGGGUGCGCCUCGAAGACAAUCGGUUCUCGGGGAAUGUUUCGGAUGCGUUUGGAGUUCAUCCGCUGCUCGACUUCGUUUCUCUGAGCAGAAAUCAAUUCACCGGCCAGCUCGAUGGCGAGUGGGGUCAAUGCAGAAAUCUCACAAAUAUUCAGAUGGAUCACAAUAGAAUAUCCGGACGUAUCCCAGCUGAGCUCGGAAAUCUGACACAGCUUGGCGUUCUUGCCUUGGAUUCGAACGAGUUAACGGGCGAAGUUCCUGUGGAGUUCGGAAAGCUGGAGCAGCUGUUUAAUCUCAACCUGAGCAACAAUCAGUUGAGUGGCGAAAUUCCUACAACUAUCGGCCAACUGACGAAGCUCCGGAAUCUUGAUUUGUCGGGGAAUAAAUUCAGAGGGAAUAUUCCCGAGGAAGUUGGUAACUGCGAAGGCUUGCUGAACUUGAAGCUGAGCAAUAACUUAUUAUCAGGGGAGAUCCCUUCGGAACUCGGAGAUUUGACGAGGCUGCAAAUCGUGUUGGACCUCAGUAACAAUUCACUUUCGGGGAAUAUUCCGUCAUCCUUCGGAAGGUUGACCUCAUUGGAGAUUCUCAACCUCUCGCACAACAAUCUUUCGGGCCGAAUCCCAGCAGCAUUGUCUGGAAUGAUUAGUUUGAGAGACUUCGAUUUCUCUUACAAUAAUCUGUCUGGUCCGAUCCCAGCCGGCGAUAUAUUCAGCAGAGCACCCGCAAAAGCAUAUAUUCCAAACUCCGGUUUAUGUGGAACUGCAGAAGCAUUACCUCGUUGUGAUGCCCCCUCUUUAACUUCAAAGUCGAGUAAUAAUCGGACGAAGAUUCUUGUCGGUGCCAUUGUGCCAGCUGUUAGCCUCGUAAUUUUGGCAACCAUUAUAGCUGGAUGUUGCAUUUGCCGAGGGAAAUCAAAGCAACUCGAUGAAGAAACCAAAAGCAUGACCAAGUUCGAGGAUUCGGAAUCGCUCGUUUGGGAAAGAGAAGGGAAACUCACAUUUGGAGAUAUUGUUCGAGCAACGAAAAAUUUCGACGAGAAAUACUGCAUCGGAAGAGGAGGAUUUGGAAGCGUUUAUCGAGCUGACUUGGCGAGCGGACAGAGUGUAGCGGUGAAAAGGCUCCACGUAUCGGAAUCGAGCGACGUGCCACUGGCGAAUAUUCGUAGUUUCGAGAAUGAAAUCCGGACACUGACGGAAGUGAGGCACAGGAACAUAAUCAAGCUUUAUGGAUAUUGCUCGAGUAAAGGAUCGAUGUACUUGGUCUACGAGUACGUAGAGAGAGGCAGCUUGAGAUCAGUUCUGUACGACGAAAACGGAGCCCUCCAACUAAACUGGCAGACGAGGGUUAGAAUCGUGCAAGGAGUGGCGCACGCGCUAGCCUACCUUCACCAUGAUUGCACACCACCUAUCGUCCACCGUGAUGUAACGCUAAACAACAUUUUACUCGAGUCGGAAUUCGAACCGAGGCUAUCGGAUUUCGGCACGGCGAAAUUG
rnacentral:lncRNA from 1 species